GACGUAGGGGGCGAGCGUUGUCCGGAUUUAUUGGGCGUAAAGGGUGCGUAGGCGGCGCGGUAAGUCGGGUGUGAAAUCUCGGGGCUUAACUCCGAAACUGCAUUCGAUACUGCCGUGCUUGAGGACUGGAGAGGAGACUGGAAUUUACGGUGUAGCGGUGAAAUGCGUAGAUAUCGUAAGGAAGACCAGUGGCGAAGGCGGGUCUCUGGACAGUUCCUGACGCUGAGGCACGAAGGUCAGGGGAGCAAACGGG
rnacentral:rRNA from 1 species